GACGAACGCUGGCGGCAUGCCUAACACAUGCAAGUCGAGCGAGUUGAUCCCUUCGGGGUGAAGCUAGCGGCGGACGGGUGAGUAACACGUGGGCAACCUGCCUCAUAGAGGGGAAUAGCCUUCCGAAAGGAAGAUUAAUACCGCAUAAGAUUGUAGCUUCGCAUGAAGUAGCAAUUAAAGGAGCAAUCCGCUAGGAGAUGGGCCCGCGGCGCAUUAGCUAGUUGGUGAGGUAACGGCUCACCAAGGCGACGAUGCGUAGCCGGCCUGAGAGGGUGAUCGGCCACAUUGGGACUGAGACACGGCCCAGACUCCUACGGGAGGCAGCAGUGGGGAAUAUUGCACAAUGGGGGAAACCCUGAUGCAGCAAUGCCGCGUGAGUGAUGACGGCCUUCGGGUUGUAAAGCUCUGUCUUCGGGGGCGAUAAUGACGGUACCCGAGGAGGAAGCCACGGCUAACUACGUGCCAGCCGCCGCAGUAA
rnacentral:rRNA from 1 species